AGGUACACGUAAAGUUGCUGUUGUAAUGUACCAGAUUUUUAAUAUAAAAGUAAGUGUAAAUAAAAAUAGUGUAAGAUACUAUUUUUAUUGGACUUAAAGAAGUAAAAUAUAAGUUGGAAAUGACUUGUGCUGAAAUUGGAAUGGAAACAUAAGAUUUAGAAUUUUCUGUAAGGAACAGGGCUAAUCUUUUAGUAGAAAAUUUACAGUGUUAGAAAAUUAUGAAAAUUUGAGAAUAUAACGAAAUUAUUUUUCUGAGGCUACUUUUAAAGUUUCAUGUCAUUCCGACACCCGAAAAGUGAAAAAUAAAAUUUGACUGCUAUCUGCUAGAGAUUCUAGUCGGCAGAUUUUUCGGUGACCAAAAUGGUUCAAAACUGAAAAAUUAAGAUCACGUUU
rnacentral:lncRNA from 1 species